rnacentral:rRNA from 1 species
UACGAAGGGGGCUAGCGUUGUUCGGAAUCACUGGGCGUAAAGCGCACGCAGGCGGCUUGAUAAGUCAGGGGUGAAAUCCCGGAGCUCAACUUCGGAAUUGCCUUUGAUACUGUCUGUCUUCGAGUUCGGGAGAGGUUGGCGGAAUUCCUAGUGUAGAGGUGAAAUUCGUAGAUAUUAGGAAGAACACCAGUGGCGAAGGCGGCCAACUGGCCCGAUACUGACGCUCAUGUGCGAAAGCGUGGGGAGCAAACAGG